rnacentral:lncRNA from 1 species
CUUGGGUGAAUCCCCGCUGCCCCGGGGACCCCCCUCCCGGGCACCGCCGACCUCCAGCCGGCCGGCACCAUGAGGCCCCGUCCCCUGCCUCCGGGUCCCCUGCUCCCAGCCAGCGCCACCGCGGAGCCCCGGGGGCAGCGGGAGAUGGGGAGAAUGCCGCCUGGGCUGGGUGAGUUCGGGGCUCUGGUGCCGCUGGAAUUUCCCAUUGUCGCGCACGGUGGCGCAACCCCUGGACCUGCGAGUGCCUCCUCCCUCCGGAGGUGUGCGGAGGCUUUGUGUGCCAGCCCUGCGCUCUUCCUGUCUUCAACUCCUCUGUCAGUUGCUCCAUACCCUUCCUGUACCUGCAGGCCUGGUCACAGCUCCUUCACUGCUCUGUUGCCGGUCACAGGAACCUGGGCCUCGCCGUGUGGUCAGGCAUUGCAAACUGGGUAUGUCAAUGACUCCCCAGUUCCAGCCCUGCCUGAGAGACCCCUGGCACAUGCAAGUGAGCCUGCCUCAUGUGCUCUGUGCUUUGAACCCCAUUUUUACCAGCUGCCAUGACAAACAGCUGUCCAGUCAUAUCAGUCCUUGACACUCUGUCC